AAAUUUGCCUCUUACAAUAACUGACAGUCUUCCGUCUCCCACAUCCAGAGAAUGUUUCCUUUGGUUCGGCUGAUCGUGUCACGUUCCUUGAUGUUAUAGAAAGGUGAAGACUGGGCUUAAAGUGAAACCUCUGACUACAUUUUGCUGCACCCUGGCAUUGACUAACAGAGGGACGCCACAGCUCGGCUGCCAGGUGGCUGUCCCCACAUGCAUCCUGAGGGCAGGCCAGCUGAGGCUCAGACGUCCUCGCUUCCUUCCCCAACCUGUGGACUAGAGCCCAGCUGAGGGUCAGGCUUUGCUCACAGACCGGCCAUUCAACUGCAGCCUUGCUCAACCCCCCGGCCACCGCGGCUCCUGAGAGUGGAAGGUGCUGCUGAACAUCGUGCGGAGAUUAUAAAUCCUCGGCAACUCAGGUUCCUGGCUUUCAGCUUAACGAUAAUCACCUGUACUCCAAGCCCUUCUAAAAUGCCAGGUACCAGGCUCAUCCCAUCACAAACACCCUCCUGCCAUCCUCAGAACAGCAGGAGGUAGGUACUGUGAUUUCUCCCAUUUUCAGAUGAGCAGACAGCCUUAGAGAGGCUAAGCUGCUUCCCCGUGGUCCUGUGAAAUGAGUGCACCCCUAACCAUUGGGACACACCACCUCUGACAGCGGCUGACUGAGCCCGCCCACAAGCCCGGCCCUGGCCAUGCAGCUCACAGCAGGAAUCCAGCGUUCCCUGAGAAGUUACGAGGAUCCUGCGUUUCCUGCAGAGCUGGGGGGCUGUUCUUCCACAUCCAAGUCCAAGUGUGUGCCAGGGCUGGAGCUCUGGGCGGCCCUCACGGGUCUGUCCCUAACGAGAUCUCAGGAGAACCCCAGCCCUCACUGGGGAGAGGCCCCAGGGAGAGGCCCACAUGGGCCUGAGGGUCAUCUGUGCUGGGGCUACCACUUACAGGAGCCGUGCUGUCCACGGGGCACCCCGAAGCGCUCAAGAAUGAGAAGGCUAGACCUCUGGAAGCCUCCAGGCUGGGCGAGGACAUCCUCUUGAAGAGGCACCAGUGUGACACGAUGGUGGACAGUUCCCUCUGGGCACUCAGGACCCAGCAUCCCGAAGACCAGAUCCUGAAGUGGCAGCCCUGUGUGUGGAGGGCAGAGGGAAGCAGUUUGCACCUGCUCGGGCAGGAACGGCACAGUUCAUCUUACCCCUUUGAGGAACUGCUUCCAAGAAACACAAAAAGAAACAUUCUGAGGACUGGGUAUUUUUCCACUUGGCAAACGUCUGUGAUUUAUAGGACACAUGGUACUCUGUCCUGACUCCGGUCCUUUCCUUCUUCCUCCACCCACGAUCCUGUCCGCCUGGCUCAGGCCGAGGGCCCAGGUCAGCUGCACACUCAGCUCCGGGCCUGUGUCCCUCGGUGGGAGGACCAGGGAGACCGCAAGGAGAGGGGCCGCCCAGCCGGCAGCUCAUUCUCAAGGGCCAGCAAAGUUCCUCGAAAAGCAAACGUCCACCUUGGUUUCUCCGGAGCCAAUAGGUGUCAGACAGACCUGAGUGGGCAUGUUUCCUGGUUUUGCAGCGUGUCCGCAGAGUAGGGGAUGCACAGGGCAAAGCCACCCGCCACCCUGGCUACAGAAUGAAGUUCCUGUGGCUCUCACCAGCUGGGGCCCAACAGCCACCAGCAUCCUCCUAAAAGAAGCUAGAAUUUUUUAAAAAAAAUCUAGUUUGAAGGGGUCCUUGAGACUGUCCUCAGAGACAAUUUGCAAAUUAGGAAACCCAAAAGAAAAAAGAAAAAAAAAAGAGAGCGGGAAGAGGUUAUUUAAAAAAUGUAUUCAAGCAGCAUUUGUUUAUUUACAAAGUACAUGCUAUAAUCAUUAGUGCUGGGUCACUAGAAGUUUUACAAAGAUUAGUUAUAUUUAGUCCCUACCCUCAGGGACCUAUGAGGAGAAUCGCCCCCGAAAGGGCUUCAUCCCAUCUAGUGUUUCUGUCCAUAAUUUUUAGGUCUGGUUUGCUUUGGCAGAAGUGACUCAGCUAACAAUUGGGCUGAAGACAUUUGAAAUUAGAGUUAGUGUAGCCAAUCUGAGUUCAGCUCAACUCAAUGGCACUGAGUGAGCAUCUGCUAUAUGGUAGGGACUGGGCCCAGCGUCAGGGGUGCAAAGGAUGCCAUUACAGAGAUAAGUUUACUGCAGAACACCAGCAAAAAUGACUGACAGAUGUGAAUAACACACAAAUGGACAUUCUGGCAAUGAAAAAUGUAAGCACUGAAAUGAAAAUCACAUUUGAUGGAUAAAACAGACGAUUAGACACCAAAAGAGAAUGUAUUUAGAAUGCAGCAAAGAAAUAUAAAAAUACGUACAAAAUGAAAGAGUUCUACAUCAAAGAAUGAGAAGGCCUCAUAUAUCUGAUUGGAGUUCUGAGAUAGGGAAUAUAGAGAGAAUGGAAGCGAGGCGUAAGGAUAUUCUAGAAAUGAUGAAAAAUGCAGAUGAACCCAGAUCCAGGAAGUAUAAACUAUCCUGAGGAAGAUAAAUUAAAAACAAAUCCAUGCCUAGACACGUUGUAGUAAAAUGGCAAAACGUCAAAGACAGAAGACCUUGAAAGCAGCCAGAAAGAAAAGACAGAUGACUUAAAAAGGACGGUUCGAAUGAGAGUUGACUUCUCCACAGAACAAUGGAAACCAGAAAACGAGCCCUGAAGUACUGAGUGGAAAUAGCUGUCAACCUGGACUUGUGUACUCAGCAGAAGUAUCAUUCAUGAAUAAGAGCAACAUACUGACAGGGACUAUUCUAAAGAAUAAACUUCAAGGGCCCUGGCU